UGCCCAAGAGAUCGGGAUAACACCUGGAAACAGAUGCUAAUACCGGAUAACAACAGAUGAUGCCUAUCAACUGUUUAAAAGAUGGUUCUGCUAUCACUCUUGGAUGGACCUGCGGUGCAUUAGCUAGUUGGUAGGGUAACGGCCUACCAAGGCGAUGAUGCAUAGCCGAGUUGAGAUACUGAUCGGCCACAUUGGGACUGAGACACGGCCCAAACUCCUACGGGAGGCAGCAGCU
rnacentral:rRNA from 1 species